UAGUCCACGCUGUAAACGAUGUCUACUUGGAGGUUGCGGUCUUGAACUGUGGCUUUCGGAGCUAACGCGUUAAGUAGACCGCCUGGGGAGUACGGUCGCAAGAUUAAAACUCAAAUGAAUUGACGGGGGCCCGCACAAGCGGUGGAGCAUGUGGUUUAAUUCGAUGCAACGCGAAGAACCUUACCUACUCUUGACAUCCAGAGAAUUCGCUAGAGAUAGCUUAGUGCCUUCGGGAACUCUGAGACAGGUGCUGCAUGGCUGUCGUCAGCUCGUGUUGUGAAAUGUUGGGUUAAGUCCCGCAACGAGCGCAACCCUUAUCCUUGUUUGCCAGCGAGUAAUGUCGGGAACUCCAGGGAGACUGCCGGUGAUAAACCGGAGGAAGGUGGGGACGACGUCAAGUCAUCAUGGCCCUUACGAGUAGGGCUACACACGUGCUACAAUGGCAUAUACAGAGGGCAGCGAGGCCGCGAGGUGGAGCGAAUCCCAGAAAGUAUGUCGUAGUCCGG
rnacentral:rRNA from 1 species